GAGGGAAAGGGAGAUUCGAGCUACCGGAAGUUGUGGGAAUGGGCGGUUUGGGAUAAACCGGAGAUAACAAAGAUGUUGUUGAGAUCUCGGCUCGAUGAGUUCUUUCGAAUUAAGUUUUUUCCCAAGGCCGCCCAUUCCGACGAUUUCCGGCGGCUCCUCCCUUUCCCUU
rnacentral:pre_miRNA from 1 species